rnacentral:rRNA from 1 species
UGGCUCAGAGCGAACGCUGGCGGCAGGCCUAAUACAUGCAAGUCGAGCGGGUCCUUCGGGAUUAGCGGCGGACGGGUGAGUAACGCGUGGGAACGUGCCCUUUGGUACGGAACAACUGAGGGAUACUUCAGCUAAUACCGUAUGUGCCCUUCGGGGGAAAGAUUUAUCGCCAUUGGAGCGGCCCGCGUUGGAUUAGGUAGUUGGUGAGGUAAAGGCUCACCAAGCCUACGAUCCAUAGCUGGUCUGAGAGGAUGACCAGCCACACUGGGACUGAGACACGGCCCAGACCCCUACGGGAGGCAGCAGUAGGGAAUCUUGCGCAAUGGGCGAAAGCCUGACGCAGCCAUGCCGCGUGAAUGACGAAGGUCUUAGGAUUGUAAAAUUCUUUCACCGGGGACGAUAAUGACGGUACCCGGAGAAGAAGCCCCGGCUAACUUCGUG